rnacentral:RNase_P_RNA from 1 species
CAAGCAGACUGCCCUAUCGCUAGUUCGUAAGAAUUAGAGGAAAGUCCGGACACCACAGAGUAGCAUAGCGGGUAACACCCGUCAUUAGAAAUUUUCUAAGAGGACAAGUGCAACAGAAAGUAUGUACAGGUAAUGCUGUAGUGAAACCAGGUAAACUCUAUGCGGUGAAAUGCCAUGUAUAUUUAACGCUUGAGGGCUACUCGCCCGAUGUUUUAGGGGUAGGCAGAUGGAGCUAUCGAGUAAUUGAUAGCCUAGAUAAAUGAUAGGGAUGCGUUUUUCGCAUACAGAAUCCGGCUUAUAGGUCUGCUUUUUUU